AGUGAACGCUGGCGGCAGGCCUAAUACAUGCAAGUCGAACGGCAGCACAGCAGAGCUUGCUCUGUGGGUGGCGAGUGGCGGACGGGUGAGGAAUACAUGGGAAUCUGCCCAGUCGUGGGGGAUAACGUAUGGAAACGUACGCUAAUACCGCAUGCGCCCUACGGGGGAAAGCCGGGGACCGAAAGGCCUGGCGCGAUUGGAUGAGCCCAUGUUCGAUUAGCUAGUUGGCGGGGUAAAGGCCCACCAAGGCGACGACCGAUAGCUGGUCUGAGAGGAUGAUCAGCCACACUGGAACUGAGACACGGUCCAGACUCCUACGGGAGGCAGCAGUAGGGAAUAUUGGACAAUGGGGGCAACCCUGAUCCAGCCAUGCCGCGUGAGUGAAGAAGGCCCUCGGGUUGUAAAGCUCUUUUGUCCGGAAAGAAAAGCAUUCGGUUAAUACCCGGGUGUUCUGACGGUACCGGAAGAAUAAGCACCGGCUAACUUCGUGCCAGCAGCCGAC
rnacentral:rRNA from 1 species